CAGCACCUCAAGUGGUCAGGAUGAUUAUUGGGCCUAAAGCAUCCGUAGCCGGCUCUGUAAGUUUUCGGUUAAAUCUGUACGCUUAACGUACAGGCUGCCGGGAAUACUGCAGAGCUAGGGAGUGGGAGAGGUAGACGGUACUCGGUAGGAAGGGGUAAAAUCCUUUGAUCUAUUGAUGACCACCUGUGGCGAAGGCGGUCUACCAGAACACGUCCGACGGUGAGGGAUGAAAGCUGGGGAGCAAACCGGAUUAGAUACCCGAGUAGUCC
rnacentral:rRNA from 1 species